rnacentral:rRNA from 1 species
GAUGAACGUUGGUGACGUGCUUGAGAUAUGCAAGUCGAGCGACCCUAGCGCAAGCUAGGGAGCGGCGGACGGCUGAGUAAUGCGUAGGUAUCUACCCCUAGGUGGGGAAUAGCUCCGAGAAAUCGGAGAUAAUACCCCAUAGUUCCCGCCUCUGGCGGGAUAAAGGUCGUAACUGAUCGCCAAGGGAGGAGCCUUCGUCCUAUCAGGUAGUUGGUAGGGUAACGGCCUACCAAGCCUAUGACGGGUAGCUGGUCUAGGAGGAUGACCAGCCAGAGGGGCACUGAGAUACGGGCCCCACUCCUACGGGAGGCAG